CAUCUGCCUUUCACUCUGCCUCUCUUCGCCUGGUUUCCCGCCCUGCCCUUCCCUCUCAAUUGAAGCCACCAAUGGGAGUGCGUUUUGCAUCAACUUUGAUUGAUGAGAGUUUAGUGGUGUAGCUCUAUUGGAAUUCAAUUUAACGUCGUUGGUUUUUUAUCAUCUUCCAGGAUUUCGGCUCUUUUGACGACCUUUUGCUGGCGCAACCACCUGAUGUUCCAUGGCUUAGGUUGCGUGAUGCUGCUCCGGGGCUAAAAUUGCUUAUUGGAUGGAUUCUCUGUAAAAAUGUGGCUGCAAGAAAACUACCAUUGGCCUUCUUUUAGCUUUCUUGUGUUGGCUCUGAGAGUAAGAUUUUUUGAACAAGUUAAUAAUAAUUAAGGUGACCUUUAAUUUCCAUGUAAUAACAUAAUCGUUUUCAGUACCUGCUUCUGCUUUUGUUUGCCAUUAACUGCUUGAUUGGCUCUUCGGGCUUCCUAGAUUUCCAACUACAGUAUUGCUCAUUGCUUCCUGCAGAAUGUUUACCAACAAUAUUUAGAAUAAAAUCUAAUCUCCCCAGUUUAGUUGGGAAAAUGGAGAAUUUAUAUGCUUGCUACUACAAAACAAUGAUCAUGUCAAAUCUUGUGAUGGCAUUUGUUUAAUACUUCUUUCUUGGAAUUUCAUGUAACAGUCCCUUUUCUUCCUCAUUCUUUAAGAUUGUUGCCCGAGUUUAACUUUCAGUGGGCUCAUAAGCAAAGGAAUUGUGUCAGUACUAACCUGAGUUAUUGAAACUUGACUGAGGUUGGUGGGAGUUGCAGAAGGUUGGCUAAGGUUGGUGGGAGUUAUUGAGAUUUGGCUGAUGGGAAGAGUUAUUGAAGCUAGGCUGUGGUUGGGGGAGGGGCCGAAAGCUUUAGCUAAAAAAAGGUAGUUCAUCUUUUCUUCAGCAUAAUCUCUCAGUCUGUUGAGCUCUGGCAAGACUUCUGUGCCAAGAUCUGGCCUGUCUUUCCGUCUCAGUUCUGCACAUUGGAGUGCAAGCUUUGCAAACCAUAAAGUCUCUUCAAUUGGCCAAUCAGGCACAUCUGAGUCUAGAACUUCUUUGAGCGUCUCAUUUUCAAUUGCUUGUUCAACAAUGUGAGUCAAGCCCAUUGGUGGCUUGGCUGUUAUGACUUGCAGAAGCAAGAUCCCUAAGGAAUAUACAUCAGAUUUCACACCAAGCAUUCCAGUUUGUUGAUACUCUGGAUCAAUAUAGCAGAAAGUUCCAGCAGCUGAUGUCAUGUGGUAUUGUGUUACAUUCUCAGAAGUAGUAGGAACAAGCCUGGCCAACCAACAUCACUAAUCUUACUGGUGUAAUUGUUGUCUAGCAAAAUGUUUCCUGGCUUGAGGUCACGGUGAACCACUGGCUCUGGCUUGGUCUGAUGGAGAAAGAGCAGACCUGUGGCUAUCUCAGCUGCAAUUCGGAACCUGAUUUGCCAAGAAAGAGCUGCUGUAUUCCCUCUCUUGAAGAGACAGUCUUCUAAGCUUCCUUUUGCCAUGUAUUCAUAGACUAGAAUACCAUACUCUGGGCAGGCUCCUAGAAGCAGUACCAUGUUUGGAUGCCGUAUUAAGCUAAGCACUUCAACCUGCAAGGACGUAAAACCUUGACUGCAACUGGUGUCUGAUCAAGAUAACAGUUGUAAACUGGGCCAUAACCUCCUUCCCCAAUCUUCUUUGAUUCCGAAAACUUCUUUGAGGGUUUUCUCUAUGUUGAGUCUCCUUUGCGCUUCUAUUGCAGCUCUCUUCUCAGCUUCUUCAGCAGCGUCUAUGGCUUCUCUGCACCUGGCUUUCUCUUGCUCUAUAAUCGACAGUGCAGCUUCUUCAGAAAACCUAGACUCUUCCAAUCUUCGUUCUUCUUCUAUUCUCCAGCGAUUCAGCUCUGUUGCCUAUAUACAUACCAUUUUAGAACCUACUGGGAAUCUUACUAGUGCACGUAGAAAAAAUGAAUUCUCUGUACCUUCCGUUUUGCUGUAAGUGCUUCUCUACAUGCUGCGUUGUACAAGUCCAUUGUUUGCUUCAACUCUAGUUUUAGCCUCCUCAUCUCAGACUCCAUGUCAUCCUAUAUGUUUCAAUUACAGAUUAGGAGAAAGCAUUGAAUCAUGCAUCUGUGCUUUAUUAUCACACUUUGCGCAGUCUUAUUGACUUUAAAGUUAAAACAACAAAUGAAAGGCUAAAGAAAUCAAAAUAUAAAAUUGCUUUUUCCAAUCAUGGAAAGAUCGAUGUAAGAUUAUGCUACAAGCCAUCAUAGGAUGUUACUCUAUCUAAAUUGACCGAAUAAUCUUAGCUAUUUUGCGGAAUUCAGUGUAUAACCCAAGAGAAAAACGAAGAAAAACUUAAAUUGCUUGUUCUUGACAAUAUUCACAGUGUAGCCUGAAUCAAACAACUUGAGGAUAUGAUCUAACUAGAUUAAUUUUCCUGUUAAUAGGAAAAAAAUGGUUAAAAUAAUAACUCUAUUAUUAAACAUCCUUUAUUUCCUUAAGUGUUUACAGUGUUUGAUGGUUAGUCGAGCUUAUUUACCUAAUCAUGCUAUUGUCAAAACGGUUAAUUGCUUACCAGGCUGUGUGUUGAACCAGUAAAAGAUGUUCUGCCGCUAUCUUGUGAAAUUGAUGAAAAUCCCUGAUGGUAAUUGGGGCUAAAGAACUUUGGUCCUGAUUGUAUAGAUGCAAAGCUAGUGUCUGAGCUAGUUGAAAACCGAGGGGUUGCUCCAGAAUCCAUGAAAUCAUAGGUUACAGAAGACAUGCGGUCAGUGCUUGGCCUGCUGGAGCUGACAAAUGAUAUGUCAGUUUCUGACAUGAGAUCUGCAAAUGAUUUUACACUAUGACCCUGUCCUCCUCUUCCUAAUGGUGACCUGUUGUAUUAUGUUCAGCCUUUGAACAAAUUAAAUCAUAGCCAAGCUUUAGCAAUAAAAAAAAGAGAAUAUAUUACAAAGACAUCCCAGACUAUCACUCCAUAAAUAUUUACUGAUUAUAUAUGCACGUUAUAUUAUAUCAUGUUCACUGCCAUCCCCUCUCAUCUUCUAAAAUGAUUUGAUGCAUUCCUCACUUACCUGAAGGUUUCACCAACUGAGAUACGAGGCUUGACUGGCAUCGUUCUCUCUGUCAGCAGAAGACCAUAAAUUGGAUUUUGGAUUAGGAUUAAGACAAAAUAAAAUGGAAAAAGGACCAUAUGAUUGGGAGAAUAAACCUUUUAUGCUCCAAACAUGUUUGUAUAGUGCUUCAGAAGAAUCUACCCUUGGACUAUUUUGGUUCUGUUGGUUUUGUAUUUGAUGUAGAAGUGGGGAGGCGAAUGGGGCAGGACGAGAAGCAUUUCUCAUUGUAGAGACCUUUCCUUUUGAUACAACAUACACAGUACAGAAAUCAGAUAUUGCCAAUCAAAGUUCAGAGUUGAGGAGAAUAUAUAAAAUUCUGCUAGUAUUCUGAAAGUUGACCUAUGUGAAAACAAAGUGCUUUUCAUCUGAAAUAGCACCAAAACUGAUGCUGUUUUGAAUGCUUUUCAAAGUUUUUGCUGUGAGGGUCUCGAAACCAUAAAAGAGGACCUCAAACAGCAUCAAUCCAAAAGCAUUUUGAAACACACCCGAACCACAAUACCAAAAGGUAGAGUUGCCAAGUCAGGAGGGGGCUAGGGACGGCAAAAAUACCUCAUAAAUCCACUCCGUGAUGGGGUUCCGAGAACCAAAGUCUCGAUUGCUGCAUGGGAAACAUAUUCUGUUAUUGCUUUUGCUAUAUCUGUGCUUUCAACUGCAACAUCAAGGCAAUGUACCUGUAUGUUGGAAUGGAAAGGAGAAACAAGACAUUUUGCACGCCUAAAGGUGCAUAUUUAUAUCGUGGAAAGGAGGAAUAACAAUGACAGGCUCAGAAACGUACAUCUUUGCGAGUACAAUAGCAUCGAAAUGUAAGGAAGAGAUCCUUUGCCAUCUUCUCAAGCUGCUGCUUCCCUGGUGAAGAAUAAUCACCAGGCGAUCCAUGGCCUGGUCGUGAAACAAUGCAAACAUGUGGAAGAGAAAGAAGAUUAGAACAUGAAACCUAGAACUUGAAAAACCACUUGAGAGAUCAAAGGAGCUGUAAGGCAUUGAAUGUAAGCUGAGCAACCCCCUUUCAACAUCAUAAUCUGUCAUUAUUCUAAAUAACGAAUCAGAUAGAGAAUUAUAAAUUACUUGUAACAAAUGAUGAUGAUGAUUUAUAAAAAACAUGGAUUAGAAUAAGAUUUUGGCCCUUGGAGAGAAGAUUUUCCACAGUCCAUUUCAAUGCGUUUUGGCUCCCCUUGUCUUUAUCUACAGCAACUGCCACCAGCCCAUUUCCUUCUCCUCCCUUCUUGGUACCGUGUCCCUUCGAGAGCCACAUUUGCUGUCUUGUAUCUUCUCAACACAGAAAAGAAUUCAAAGGACGGGAAUCCGCAAAAGUGGUCAAGAAUUCAAAGGCCUGUAAUUGUCAUCAAGAGAAGACCGCCUAAGAGGCCUUGAAACCUCUCUUCUAUCACCCUGGAUGUGCUCUGAUGCUUUCUGGUCAAAGAGGAGUUUUAAGUGCUUUCUGAAGGGAAAUGGCAAUUGGAUGCAAGCCUCAGUGUGUUUCCAGCAGAAAUGACACCCCUCAUUUUCUCAGUCCCUGUUUAGAAGCUUGCCUAUAUUUAGAGAUCGAGGGCCAUUGAUGAAGCUGUGCCGUUUCAAUGGACACACGAUGUUACUAAAUAAAGGAUGGUCUUCGGUGUACUUUGUUCACUGAUGGACUCUAUACCAUUGUUUACAUGAUUAUUGAAUUAUAUUCAAGUUUUUAUAAGAGAUUCCUAGGCCAGUUCUAUUGAGAACCAUCAUCUGCUACAUGAAAAUUCUAAAAUUCGGCUCGAAAUUUCAUGUUU